rnacentral:lncRNA from 1 species
GUUGAGACACUUAGUGUUUUAGUUUACAGGGUGUGUGAACUUCUAGGCACAUGACAAGAUGGUCAGCUGCACUUUGUUUUUAGGUGGCCUGUACCUGAAAGCUGUUUCUUUUUUUCUUUCCAAAGAAAUUCUGACUGGUGUCCUCCUUCACUAACUAAAGUGUGGGUACUCUCUUACAACCUAACCCCAACUUGGCUACUGUGAGAACCAGAAAGAAUUCAACAGACUAGCCCAAAACAAACAAACAAACAAACAAAACACAUUACCUCUGCACACUGGCACACCACCCAUGUUCAUUUGUAUGGUUUUUAUGGGCUGACCCCAAGACAUGCAAGGCAGAGGGAUGUCUCCACUCUUAUUUUCUAAUAGUUGACCUUUCUCUUAGUUGGUCCCUCAUCUGUGUGCUCCAUCCUGUAGGAAUGGGAGGGCGUUCAUAGAGAAUAAAGAAGUCAAUUCUAAUUUUGGCAGAUGGUGUGCUAAGAGAAUUAACAAAAGUAUUCUAAACAAAAGCCAGCCUUUUCUGGCCCGGAAAUAUUGAGCUAAGCAUUUUCACGUUAACAAUAGAGGGCAGAGCUGAGAUUUGCAUUCAAAACUUUUAAUUUGAAAAGCCUUGAUGAUUGCCUGUGCCUGGCAGAGUUCACAUUCAAGUGAGAACCCCACUAGAUACCCACCUUUCUUGCUAUUGUAAGUAUUCUAUAAAGUAUGGUGAUAGCUUCAUACGAGGUCUGCAGUGACAUUGUCAUGACAUAAGGAUACUUAAGAUCCACUGAAAUAUCCUUUUAUAUAUAUAAGUAGGGUGAAGAUUGUGGCCUGUAGUUCACCAAAUAAUUAGUCUAAAAUUUCGAAGCCCUCCCCCCCACCUCCCGGAUUAGCUAGUAUGGGUUUGAAAACAUAUUUUAAGGAGAAAUGGAGUGACCCGAAUUUGGCUUUGUCACAGUGGACCGUGUUCAUUGAUUACAGAAUUUUAAAGCAGAAGUGUGUGCGCUGGAGGAGAUGCAUCUGGUAUCUCCAGCUUAGUGUGGAGUGGCCUGUUUGGAAGCUCCGUGUGUUUGAUUUAUUUCUUUUGUCCCUGGCAAGGAGGGACUGACUCUCCCAGUGCUUGGCUGCCUUUUCCAUCUGGGAGGAAUUGCGUGUCUUGAAUCCUGUAGUCUCCCGCCAGCUACAUUGAUACUGGACUUCUCCCCUCUCUGCUCAGGUAUCUCCAUACUUUCUUGGAAAAUUAAGUGGAAAGGAUAGUGCUUCUUGCCCUCUGCCACCAUUUUUACUGUUCCCACUCUGUGACUUUAGGAGCACCAAGUUUUAAGGGUAAGUCUCUGGGAAUCAGAGAGUCUCUUGAAUAGGUGUGGCGCUAAGACCAUGGAGAACUGAGGGAUGACACGGGGUGGAUUGGGAAUGAAGAGAGUCCAGGGGGCAGAGAGCCCAAGUCGCUCUCUGUUCAGCUUGUCUGGAAUCACUCAUGCUUUAUGCUCGGGGUAGAGAAAAACAGCAAAACACUCCAUUCUCCACUUAACUUAGGGUAGUGUGAUGAGUCAAAUGAUCUUAGAUCUGCGUUGGAGAAAAUGUGAGUGUGUGUAAGUGUGUGUGUCCUGAGUGCUUGAAUUACCAGCAUGGGCCACCCUGCCUGGCUACUGAGCAAGCUUCACUGUUAGCGUUGUGUUGUGAGACAUCGAUAAAAUGUAGAUUUGU